CGCGUAGGCGGGCCAUCAAGUCCGGGGUGAAAUCUUUCGGCUCAACCGGAAAAGUGCCUUGGAUACUGAUGGUCUUGAGCGAGGUAGGGGCAUGUGGAACUUCCGGUGGAGCGGUGAAAUGCGUUGAUAUCGGAAGGAACUCCGGUGGCGAAAGCGACGUGCUGGACCUCUUCUGACGCUGAGGCGCGAAAGCUAGGGGAGCGAACGGGAUUAGAUACCCCGGUAGUCCUAGCCCUAAACGAUGGGUACUAGGUUGUGGACUUAACAUGGGUUCACAGCCGAAGCAAAAGUGUUAAGUACCCCGCCUGGGGAGUAUGGUCGCAAGGCUGAA
rnacentral:rRNA from 1 species